UGUAGUUUGACAGAAAUUAAGAAUCUCACAAAACCAAGUCCUGAUGUUGAGAUAAUCUGUAAUGUAACAGAAAAAAUAUUUAAACAGUACACUAAUCAAAUCCAUUCAAAAAAUCCAUACAAUUUUUUUUUAAUUAAAGUUAAAACUGAACUAUAUAGAAGUUUUAACAUAUUUUCUAAAGUAACUUGUGGAGAUGAUAAUCACCGCAAAUCAAUUUUUUUUGCGCUCGAACCAAAAUUCACGGUAACACGAAUUGGAGUUUAGCGAAACUGUAAAUCGAAACUGGAGUUUUUCGUCACGCGCAUAAGUUGGACUUUGAACCGUGUGACUUUCUAUCGUCCGUGUUUCGGUCGUUCUAUCGAUAUUAUUCACAUCAUUGCGCUCUCGUUAUGUAAUCAACCUGUUGAUCACAAUCAAUUGACACAUUGUCAUCGUUUCAUCUGAUCUCGAUUUAUAAAAAGUGAUUAUUACCAUAAGUUUUUUAUAUAAAUAUGUAAUUUAUAUAGUUCAUACAUAUAUAGAAUAAUAAUAAUUCAUAUAUAAUUUAUAAAUAGUAUUUUUUUUUUAUAAUCAUGCCCGUUUUUUGACCACAGAAUUUAUUUUUUUAUUUUUUCUAAACAUGGUAAACCGGUGUGUUUUGUGCUACACCACCGUCGCCGACGGUGUCAGUUUACAUAAGUUUCUGAGGGAUACCCAAACGGCCGAUUCCUGGCUACAGUUUGUUGUGGCUUGCGGCCGUAAUCCGUCGGACGUAAAUGUCCGCAAUGCGUUUUUGUGUUACCGGCAUUUUCUGCCCAGCGGCUACGUUAGCAGUACUGUGUGCAGGGUGCUCAACUGGAACGCCGUACCGUCUUGCAUAACAUAUUUCAGUGGUCGGAGGUUGUUGUCACGCGAACACGCCGCAACGUAUGGGCAAAUGCAUAUACGUCAUUAGUUAUUAUACAGUAUCUUGGAAUUAUUUGGAAGUUCUCGUUAGUAGCGAAUGAUCCGUGUUUAAGAAUAUCUCUAACUUUCUAUCUAUAUGUAAUUAAUUUUUUAAUACAAUGUGAUAUAUUUCAAUUAUUAUUUUUUAUUAAACUUUAUUGAUUAUUUAUUAUUUGUAUUAAAUAUAAUACUGUUACUAUAGAAACUAAAAAUGAAGUGAUUUAUGUAAAACAUCCAACAAUGAAAUUAAGUUGGACGUUUUGUCUUUUUUACAUGAGUAGUAUUUAUUGAAAUCGAUAUAAUAUACAACUUCUUGUAUAGUACUCAAGUUAAAUUUUUAAAUUAAAUAAUUUUUCUCUGAGACUUACUUUUAUAAUACAUACAUUUGUGUUGCUGUAUGAACUAAAUAACCAAUUGAAGAAUUAAGUACUUUAAAAGGGGGACUCUAACGUAUUAUAUUAUUAUUAGACAUAUUAAUAUUUUCAAAUAAUAAACAUUUUGAGCUUUCCUUUAAAAAUAAUAAUUCAGACAAAUUAUUGUUUUUUAUCUUUGGGAAUUCUUUAAUUUAUAUUUUAAUCUUUAGGGUAGUAUUUAAGAUUUUGGCAUGGGGUGCCCACAUAAAUAUUGUACGCCUCCAAUUUUUUUUAGAAUUGUCCUUUAAAUAAUACUAUUAAAAAAAAUGUUAAGUACACAUUUCUAUUCCCAUAAUCUUUCGUCAAAAUUAUGAAGAUAAUCUUAAAUUUAAAAAUAUCAUACGUAUCAUAACAAUCAUUAUUAGAAUAACAAAAAUUAUUUUUUAUUAAUGGUAUGUUGAUAAUUUUGUAUAUUUCGCUCUUUAAUUUUUUUAAUUUGAGAUUAGCCCCUUUUGGGAGGGCUAUUGCUUCUCUUAACCACCUUAUAAGUAUCUGUUGAUCCUACACUUAUGUAA